GCUUGUUUCGUCUUGGGCGUAUUUCGGGUUUCUUGUGUUGCAUACCAAAUUGCUGGUACUGUUUUGGUUGAUCGAAGUCCCUUUUCAUCUUGUGUUGUURUACAUGGWGAACCUUGAAGCGGUCUCUAUGUUCCAUCAUGUUGAUGCAAAUGCAUUGAUGUUGUGGCCCAUUGAGUGUUGCUUGGUAUCCUUGAUACGGAACAUUAUAUGGGCAUGGGGUCUCUCAUGAACUCUUGUUUUGUCCUCUUUCAGUGUUCUUUGAAAUGACGGUUCAUGCGCGCCUAGGCUAGUACCUGCGCGAUGUUCUYUGUCAAAAAGGAAUGCUACCUGGU
rnacentral:misc_RNA from 1 species